rnacentral:hammerhead_ribozyme from 1 species
AUCCAGCUUUCGAGUCCCAAAUAGGACGAAACGCACAUCUUGGAU